rnacentral:lncRNA from 1 species
UGCAUCUUCUUCACAAACAUCAAAGCUUACUCUUUCACAAUUCAAUCUCCACCUCAACACCCUUUUUAUCUCUUUACAUUCUCUUUCCUUCUUAAAUCGAAACUUAAUUGGUAUUCAGGAUCAUUGCCAUGUUGCGAAAAAUGGGUUUGUGUCUGGUGUUUUUGGGGAUUCCCAUGAUGCGUACAAGGUGUUUGAAGAAAUGGGUUUGUGUCUGAUGUUUUUUGGAUUCCCAUGAUGCGUACAAGGUGUUUGAAGAAAUGGGUUUGUGUCUGAUGUUUUUUGAAUCCCAUGAUGCGUACAAGGUGUUUGAAGAAAUUAGGUGUCUGAUGAAUAUUGUUUUUAAAGCCAUUUUACAACGCUUUGGCAAACAAGCGCUGUAAAAUAUCUUUUUUACUCACUUUCAAAAGAGUCGUUUACAGCUCUUUGUGUGAAAAGCGCUGUAAAAGGUAUAAAACACUCAUUAUUUUAUUUUUAAAAGGAUCUUUUACAGCGCUUUUUAAGAUAAGCGCUGUAAAAUGUCUCUUUAUUUUAUUUUUGUGUUUGGUUUAUUUGGGUUGGGAUGACAUUAAAAACCUUUUUAUCAUUGUUUAUUGGAUUAAAAAUAUUGUUAUCAUUGUCUUUAUCACAAUACUUUAGGAGAUGAUGAAUUAUUAGAAAUGAGAACUUCUGAAGAAUCUAUAUAUAUAUGCACUGAGCAAAAGAGAAUCUCUCUAUUCAGUUCAGUUCAGUUCAUGUAAAUUACUAAUUUAUAUUCAGUUCAGUUCAUGUAAAUCAAGCUAAAUAUAAAACACUCAUUGUUACAUGAACUUGGUAUAAAACACUCAAAUCAAGCUAAAUAUAAGCAGAAAAUAAAUUAAUCAGAACUUAGUAUAAAACACUCAAUUCAGAUUACAUGCAUAUUUACAAUAACACAGUUCAGAUUACAUGCAUAGCUUAUAUAAAACAAUUAAACAUAUACAUUAAGAUGCCCUUCUUCUUUUCCUGGUGACAUUCACAUUUGUUUGUCCAUUUACAAUACGAAACGAUGGAUUAAUCCAAAUUCCCUCAUCAUGAUCAUCUCUAAGAUAUAAACCAUCAUCAGUUGAAUCAAUUUCAUGUGGUUGUUGUGAUGUUGCAAAUAAAAGAUCAUUACCAACAUCUUCAUCAUUAUUGUUAUCAUCACUUAUUUUAUUGGUCGAUAGGACAACAGACCAUUUAUCAUUAGAAGGAUCAGUGACAUAAAACACUUGUUGAGCUUGCGACGCUAAAAUAAAAGGCUCGUCUUUGUAUCCCACCCUAUUAAAAUCGACAAGCAAGAAUCCUGACUCAUCAAUCCGAACGCCAUUAUUAUUAUCGACCCACUUGCAACCAAAUAUGGGAACACGAAACAUUGUGUAGUCUAACUCCCAUAUGCGCUCGAUAACCCCAAAAUAUGAUAGAUUUGCAUAUAUUGGGUUUUUGUCUUUUGCACUUGAGACAUGCAUCGCUUCAGCUACGAGAGUGACUCCACUAUUUUGCAUAGUGGUCUGAUCAUCUUGUUCUUUGGUAUAAAAUGUGUAGCCGUUAAUAACAUAACCAGUGUAAGAAAAGACAUGUAAGCUCGGACCAUUUGCUAGCCACCUCAAUCUAUUUGAAAUUGAUCCGGGGUCUAUAUCAAAUUUUGACAUUAUGUGAUUUUUUAACCAUGUUACAAAACUUCGAUUGUGCUCUCGAGUUAUCCAAUUUUGAUUCCUAUUCAUGUUCAAACGAGAUAACUGAUCAAUGUGUAUUGUAACAUACGGUUGAACCUCAUCAUCAUUGUGCAGAACAUACAAUUGUGCCUGCUCCCAUUCUGUCCUUGAUAUAGUCAGUAGUCUCCUUCCAGUUAUCCCUUCUCCUGAUAGUCUUCCCGAAUGACGAGACAUGGGAAGCCCUAUGGAUUCAACAUUGGACAGAUAUUCAGUACAAAAUUCAGCAGCCUCUUCAACAAUGUAUCGUUCAGCAAUACAACCUUCUGGUCGACUUCUACUUUUUACGUACCCUUUUAAUAUUUUCAUAUAUCGUUCUAUCGGAUACAUCCAUCUCAUAUAAGCUGGCCCACAAAGUUGUGUCUCCUUAACCAGAUGAACAGUAAGGUGAACCAUUAUAUCAAAAAACGAUGGUGGGAAAUACAUUUCAAGCUCACACAAAGUAACAACAAUUUCCCUCUGCAAUGUCGGUAAUUUCUGAGGGUCGAUCACUUUACUACAAAUUUCCCUGAAGAAGAAACAUAAUCUAGUUAAGGCUAGUCGAACUUUUUCAGGUAAAAUGGAACGUAUACCUAUUGGUAGCAAAUGCUCCAUUAUAAUAUGACAAUCAUGGGUCUUCAAACCUUUUAACUUGAGGUCUUUCAUACAAACCAAAUUUUUAAUGUUCGAAGAGUAUCCUUCUGGAACUUUAACUUCGUGUAGAAAUUUACAUAAAACAAUUUUUUCCUUUCUAGAUAGAGUAUGAGCGGCUGGAGGUAGAUAUGUGCGAUUUCCUUUCUUUACUGGAGCCAGUUCAUUUCUUAUUCCCAUAUCGACCAAGUCCAAUCUUGCAUUGACGCCAUCUUUAGACUUUCCUGGAACAUUGAGUAACGUACCAAUAACACUUUCAAAUACAUUUUUUUCAAUAUGCAUCACAUCGAGGAAAUGUCUUACAUACAAUGACUUCCAAUAUGGCAAUUCAAAGAAAAUUGACUUUUUCUUCCACCCAGUUUUCACCAGCUCUCCCGCAAAAGGUUUGCCAAAUUUAUUGGUCAAACCUUGUACUUUUUCAAGUAUUUGAUAUCCAGUCGGUGCUAAAGGAGCUUUACCUUCCUCUGAUUUUCCAUUGAAUGCAUUUCUCCACCCACGAUACUGAUGACUAUAAGGUAAAAAUCUACGAUGUCCAAGAAACACAUUCUUCUUACAAUGUUUCAACCGCAUCCAAUUUGUACUCUCUUCACAUAUAGGACAUGCACACUGACCUUUAAUGCUAUAUCCUGAUAAAUUACCAUAUGCUGGAAAAUCAUUAAUUGUGCCGAACAACAUAGCCCUCAAAUUGAAACACUUUUUCCUAUACCCAUCAUAAACUUCCACACCUGUCUCCCACAGAAUUUUUAAAUCUUCAAUUAAAGGAGUCAAGUAUACGUCGAUAUCAUUCCCCGGUUGUUUGGGUCCAGAAAUUAACAGAGACAACAUCAUAAACUUACGCUUCAUACAUAACCAUGGAGGUAGGUUAUAUAUUACCAAAAUCACAGGCCACGUGCUAUGUGAGAUGCUUUGAAGACCAUGUGGAUUCAUUCCAUCAGUAGAAAGUGCAAGUCUUAGAUUUCUUGACUCUAUCCCGAAUUCAGGAUACUCGUGAUCAAUUUUUGCCCAUUGUGGGGAAUCUGCAGGGUGUCGAAACAUUCCAUCUCUAAUUCUUUCAUCUGCAUGCCAUGUCAAGUGUUUUGAAUCUUCUUCACUGCGAUACAUGCGCCUAAAUCUUGGUAUUAUAGGAAAAUACCACACGACUUUUGCUGGAGUAGAUUCUUUCUUCUUAUAUCGAGAGACAUUGCAUUUCGGACACGCCUUAAGUAGUUCAUAUUCGUUUCGAAAUAAAAUGCAAUCGUUAGGACACGCAUGAAUCCUUUCGUAACUCAUUCCAAUAGAACACAAAAUCCGUUUAGCCUCGUAGGUUCGACUGGGAAGUUCAUUAUCAUCUGGCAACAUAUCUUUUAUGAGUGUUAAUAAUUCCGUAAAGCUUUUAUCAGACCAUCCAUUACUCGCUUUUAAGUUGUACAACUUUAAUAUCGCUGACAGUCUUGUGAAUUUAGUACAACCAUUAUAUAAUUCUUUCUCUGCAUCACUCAACAAACUUUCAAACAUUUUAGGACAAUCUCGAAGAUCUUCUUCAACUGCUUUUGCAAUCUCAUCAACUCGGUCCGGCUCAUAUGUAUCUGUAUCGAAAUCAGUUGAAGCAUAUGUAGAACUAUUCUCAAAAUUAAUGUUUCCUUUUUUUUUCUCACCAUGUCUUAUCCAACAUGUGUAGCUUUGAUCAAUUCCAUUACAUACUAGAUGUCCUUCUAAUUCAUCUUCUCUAACACGUUUUCCAAAACAACAUUUUAAACAAGGACAAACUACUCUAUUUGGAUCUUUUGCAUUCUUCACUGCAAACUCAACAAACUCCUUCACUCCAAUUUCAUACUCUUUUGACAAUCGAUUGGCUGAAAUCCAUUUCCUAUCCAUAUUAUACCACCUAUAUAAAUGCAGUAACAAAAAUAAUAAGCUUUCAAAACAUAUCAACAAGUUUCAAAAAGAAACCAAUAUCAACUAACAAUUUCAAAACAGAACAGAUCAUGUGGUAUGAGUUUUUGACAAUUUUUGACAAUUUCAAAACAUAACAGAUCAUGUGUAAAAAAUACCUUAGACAACGUAGAUGGCCGCACAGUACGUAGAGGAUAUUAGGGUUCGCAACGUAUAUAAUUAUUUGAAAGAUGUAUUUUACAGCGCUUGUGAAAAACGCGCUGUAAUAGGUAGUUAAAUUCAAUGAAAGCGCAUGUGUUUUACAGCGCUUGUGAAAAACGCGCUGUAAUAGGUAGUUAAAUUCAAUGAAAGCGCAUGUGUUUUACAGCGCUUGUGAAAAACGCGCUGUAAUAGGUAGUUAAAUUCAAUGAAAGCGCAUGUGUUUUACAGCGCUUGUGAAAAAGCGUUGUAAUAGGUAGUUAAAUUCAAUGUAAGCGCAUGUGUUUUACAGCGCUUGUGAAAAAAGCGCUGUAGUAGGUAGUUAAAUUCAAUGAAAGCGCAUGUGUUUUACAGCGCUUGUGAAAAAAGCACUGUAAUAGGUUGUUAAAUUCAAUGAAAGUGCAUGUAUUUUACAGUGCUUGUGAAAAAAGCGUUGUAAUAGGUAGUUAAAUUCAAUGAAAGCGCAUGUGUUUUACAGCGCUUGUGAAAAAAGCGCUGUAAUAGGUAGUUAAAUUCAAUGAAAGCGCAUGUGUUUUACAGCGCUUGUGAAAAAAGCGCUGUAACUGAUACGCGAAAGCGCUUCCUUUUACAGCGCUUUUUUGACAAGCGCUGUAAAAGCCUUAUAACGUGAUGCGCAAACGUUAUAUGACCUACUACAGCGCUUGUUUUACAGCGCUUUGAAUCAAAAGCGCUGUAAUAGGUUCCGUUAUUUUUAAAAUAUAAUUACAACAGCGCUUGUGUUUAGCAAGCGCUGUAAAAUGGGCGCUGUUAAAUGUCAUUUUUGGCGUAGAGGUUGAUGCCAAUAAUUAGUGUGGGUCUUUGAAAUCGACACCUAUAACUAAGAGUAACAACGAGCUAAUGACCAAAGAUCAUCAAUAAUUUUUGACACAAGAUCUUCAUUCAAAAUCUUAAAACUUGUAUAUGGGACAUAUAUUUUAAAUAUCAUUCAUUUAAUUCAUUUCUAGUCGACGUGAAACUAUAAACUCACUUAAAUUUCAGCAAUUUCUCUUUCAAGUGUAAGUCUCAUGCAUAACUAUACUUAUAUAUCGCCGUUACCAACCAAUGGUUAAUGAAUAUUUUAGUUUUAUCACUCGAUGGUAACCAAUCCUCAGUGAUUAAUGGAUAUUUCUGUUCGUUGGACUUGUCGCAACAAAAUUCAUUUUGAAGAUAGUUGUAUAUCUUACUUUUCAACUGUUAAGAUGAUUAUUUCUAAUGUGACUUUGGUUGGUAAGCAUAACAUAGGUUCUUCAUCUUCUAUGACUGAUUUUGAAGUCCUCUAAUAUUUUAAUGUCACGAUUAAGCAUAGUAAAGAUCUAGGAAUUAAAAAAGUCAUUUGGUCCUCCUCUUCUAUUUGUUGAAUCAAAUGCAAUACAUAUGAUGCUGCUAAGGGUUUAUCUGGUCUCGCUGCUUGUAGGGAUAAAAAUGCAGCUACCCUAAGGUGCUUUGCUUUACAUAUUGGUAACACUUUUACGUUUUACCCUGAAUUAAUGGGAACUAUCUUAGGGAUUGAGCUUCCUUUAAAAAAGGAGUGCAUAACUUUUGAUUAGAGAGCGACUCUCAAUUGGUGAUUUUGGUCUCUCAAAAUAUUUCUAUUGUUCCUUGGCAUAUUCAUAUGGUUAAACUUUCUCACUAAAAAUAUGAAUUUCCGUUACUCUCACAUAUACAUAUUUGAAAGGCAAUGUGUAGAUCUUCUGGCAUCUUUUAAACUACUUCAGGUUUUAUUUGGUGGAACACAAUUUAGUUGAUUGUUCAACAAAGGGUUAUCCCAAUGAACCACUUAUUUUAUUUUGUUUUUUCUUUUCUUUUGUAGUUUUUCUGCAUUGCACUUUUUUUCUCUGCAUAAUGAUUUUAUCUCAUUCAAUUUCUUUUAUUAAAGUUUUUAAUGACACAUUAUUUUUUGUUUCUUCCUUGGGUUUUAACCCAUUCCUCCAAGUUGUAAUGAUCUUUUUUUAUUAUUUUAUGUAUUUAAUAUAUUUAUUAAAGAACUACAAAUAAUAUAAUUUGAACUUAAAAUAAUAAAUUAGAUCUUUACUCAAUAAAUUAGGAACAAGAAUGUGGACACACAUAUUUAAACACAAUAUGUGCACGUACUAAAAAAAAGAAAUAAUUAAAUAAUAUAUAUUUUUAAAAUAAUUAAAUAAUAUUUUUUUUUCCAAAAUAUGUGUCCAUCCAAAAAAUUAUUAAGGAAUAUGCAUGUCUACGUCUAGUAACCGAUAUUAAGGAAUGAAUUUGACCAAAAUAUGUUUGUGUAUCUCCAUUAUCAACUUUUCUCAACGUCUAAGGUUUUCAGGAGAUAGCUGUAGGGCGUAUAUAAUAUAUAGACUAUACACUUCAAUCCAUACAGCUAUAAAAUCUAGGUCCAAGCUUAGCUAAUCUUCUUUUUUUUUGAAUGAAGCCGAUCUAACCCAAUAAAUACACUCGUUGAAAUUUGAACUUAAAAAAUAUAUUUAAAGAGUGAUUUGAUACAAAUAUAUUUAUGGCCGGCUAUUACUAAUUAGUGAGAUGUACAUCAAAUAAAAUUAUUUUGGUGGAAUAAACUUAUGAAAAAAAAAAUUACUGGUGGGUACAUUUACCAUGUGUUUAUAUUAACUAUAUAUAUAUAUAUAUAUCUAUAUAUCAUAGUAUCGACUCAAAAGUUUUAACUAUAUAUAAAGAGAGUGAGGAUCAACUUUCUCUAUUAGUAAUUUGAUCACAUCGAAUUUCCUCGAUCUAACUGUUGUUAUUUUUAUAUUACCUUAUCGAAUGAGUAUAAGUCACACUAAAAGUUAAGAUCUUUUUAUUCUUUAGAUUGAUAUUGUUCAUAUUUUGUUGAGUUUGAAUUUGUAAAAUUUUCAUAUUAAUAUGGUUCGUAUUUUGUUAAGCCUGUUUUUUGCAAAUUUUUCAUAUGAAACUUCCUUCCUACUGCUUGUUUUGAUCUGGGCGAGAACAUCGAGUUAUACCGGUUCUUGAACUUUCACCAGUAGCAAUAUGACUAAGUCAAAUUCAGUAUUUUGUCAUUUGUCAAAAUCUGAAUUAUAUCGUUGCAAAUAAUAAAUGUAUCUAGUGUUUCUUCUUGUAAACAAUUCUUGAUCAUAUCUUAUAAAUAAAUCAUAUCUUCUUGUAGAUAAAUCUUGAUCAAAUCUUCUUGUAAAUAAUUCAUAUUUUCUUGUGAUAAAUAUUGAUCAAAUCUUGACCAUAUCUUCUUUUCAACUUCAUGAAAUAUUUUCUUCAAUUAUAAAUCUGAAUCAAAUCUUAUUUUAGAUUGUUUUCAAAAAUACGAAUCUUCUUUCAUAUUAUGUGAAGUCAACUAUAUUGUUCCCAUGAAAUACUUUUGUUAACAUCGAAACUCUAAGUGUAAAAUCAACUUGUUCCAACAGGGUGGAUUGUAACUCAAUUUUCAAGAGAAAUAAUAUGUGAGAUCUAAUACGCAAACCCAAAGAAAAGCAACCUAUUGGAACCAAGUGAAUUUUCAUAAACAAAUUAAACCAAAAAGGUGAAGUGGUAAGAAAUAAAGCAAGGCUGAUAGCUCAAGGCUAUAUAAUCAGUAAGAAAAUAUUAAUUAUAUUGAAACCUUUGCUCCGAUAUCAAAGUUAGAAGCUAUCAAAAUUUUACUUUCUUUUGCAGCAUUUAACAAUAUUAUUGUGUAUCAAAUGGACGUGAAAAAUGUCUUUUCUAGUUUUGAAGACAAUGAUUUUUCAUAUCAUAUUUUCAAACUAAAAAAAUCUUUAUAUGGUCUUAAACAAGCUCCUAGAGCUUGGUAUUAAAGGUUAAACAUUUUUCUAUUGAAAAACAAUUUUGAAAUAGGCCAGGUGGACACUACUUUGUUUAGAAAAUUAUCAAAAAUUUAUCUUCUCAUUGUUCAAGUAAAUUUGGAUGAUAUUAUUGUUGGUUCUACUAAUGCAAAUUAUGUCAAGAGUUUUCUAAGCUUAUGCAAACUGCGUUUGAUGGGAAAGCUAAAAUUCUUUCUUGGAAUUCAAAUUCUACAAAGCUCUGAGAGUGUCUACAUUCAUCAAACUAUGUAUACAAAAUAACUUCUUAAAAAUUUUAAGAUGCAUGAAUGCAAACCUAUACACACUCUUAUGCACCUUACUUGUUCUCUUAGUAAAGAUGACACGUGUAAAAAGGUAGAUCAAAAGGUACUACUAAUAUUGAUUUGAUUUAUAAGAAAUUUAUUGAGUGCAAGUUAGUAGGUUACUGUGAUGUUAGCUAUGUUGGAGACAAACAUAACAGAAAAAACACUAGUGGAAGCUUCACUCACCAAACCUCUCUAAAUUCAAAUAACAAUUGUUACUCCUACAUAUAUCCCAUAAUCAUCUAUGCUUGUGGAUCCUAUCCACAUUACUUCUAAGGUAGAAACUCGAGUGAUUCAUUUCUUAGUCUUUGAAUCACCAAAAGAAGAAUCACCUCCCCAUACCCAACCAAACCAUAUUUAUAAACCUGGUACUACCACUCCAUACGAACUUGCACACAUCAUUCCCUCCCUACCUUUUGGAUUUCCAAACCUAGAUGAUUUAAUUUAUGCAUUUACUAUUAGGAUUAACAGGGAUAGGAACAAAAACUCAAGUAGUUUGGAUCUCAAAAAAGUCACUGCUCAGUGGGACUGUUGUCUCUCUUUUGUAGCAAAUUGGAUAAGGGAAAACAUGGAGUAUGGAAAACAGUUGGCACAUCAAAAUAUUGUUUUCAUUUAGGAAAUUGUAAAUAUCAUCUAUCUUUGGAUUUUGUAAUUCAAGAAGUCAUAGAAAACUCAUACCAUGAGCACCUUGAAGUCCUUGAAGUCCCAACCUUGCAUGCUUCUUCAAGUUCAAGUUCAUUUGUUUAAGCUAAUGUCCCUUUAGCUAUUCUUUAUGCACCAUUUUACUUUUCUCAGUUUGUAAAGAAAGAAGACAUUGCUAGGCUUGAAACUAAAAUUGAGACUUUCAUGGAACCAACAGCUAAAAAUCAAGAGUAGAUAUAAAACACCUUAUGACUUAUCUUAGGUUGCCUAACCAAUCCAAACCCUUAGGAUUUGUUUUAUGAAUGUCUUUGAUUUCUUUUGUUAAUUUUUUUUUUUUUUUGCUUGUUAUGUCUUGUUAUCAUUUUACUUUUUUCUUGUCUCACUACGCGAAAAACUGCAUUUUACAGCGCUUUUUCAAAAAAACAAGCGCCGUGGAAUCGAGCACUGUAAAUGAUACAACGCGCUUUUAAAAAAGCGCUAUAAAACAUGUAAAUAUAACGCGCGCUUGUUAUGCCCAUUUUACAGCGCUUCUUCAAAAAAGCGAUGUAACAUGCACCCCAUUAUAUGAGAUAUGGGUCUGCUUUUAGAGCGCUUUUUAACACAAGCGCUGUAAAAUGCCCACCCAUAAUUUUCAUAUUAUGGGUCUGCAUUUUACAGCGCUUUCUCUAAAAAGCGCUGUAAAAUGUACACCAUUAAAGCGCUUUACAACAACCUUUUACAGCGCUUUUUAAAAAAAGCGCUGUAAAAUGUGUGUGUGUGUUAUUUUUUUUUUUAAACGCUGUAAAUUAUUUAUUUGAAAUGAAAAGCGCUUUUUAGCUUUUUAUGGCAUUUUUUUUAGAAAGCGUUGUCUUUUAUCUUUGUAUCCAAAAUUAUUUUGAUCCAUAAUCACUUCACAAUCAGUGCACACAACAACAAAACAUAUUCAAAUACCAUAAGCAGUUCACACAAUCAGAAAUCAGAACUCUGUAACUUAAUUAACAUAUAUGUAACUCUGUAACUCUGUAAUUUACAACCUAAUUAACUACAUUCAGAUACAUAUAUACAACCUAAUUUACAACCUAAUUAACUACAUUCAGAUACAUAUAUACAACCUAAUAUACAACCUAAUUUACAUCCUAAACUACAUUCAGAUCCAUAUGCAUGUUCAUAUAUUGUGUCCUAUGAUCAUUUACAUAUAAUAACUAACAGAAUAUACAUAAUAUGCACUAGCUACCAUAUAAUAUUCAGAUCCCUUGCCCAGCAGCAAGCUAUUUCCCAGAAAAUCAAAUAAUUUGCAUGUCAAGCACAUACUGACACCAGUCUUCCUUUAAUUCCAUCAGAUCUUCCUCAGAAUAUGAUGGACUGGAAUUGUCAAAGUACUGCAAUAUAAAAAUUGAACAUAUUAUAUUAAGUUAGUAUCAAAUAUAUAGAUAAUUUAUAUAUGAAAAUCAUAUAAUGCAAAUACCGUACCGUUUCUGGGAUAAUAGUUUUAUUCUUCUCAACAAUCUCCUUCAUGAAUCUCAAUACGUAGUACCCACAGUCGAUGUUAUUUGUUUGACGAGGGCACUUUAUUGAGAUCCAUGUAAUGUUAUUAGACUUCUGCUUCGACACUUUAGCACCUCUUUGAGCUCGAUAAACUUUUAAGGCACUAUCGAAUGAAUAAAUGUGAUUAUUAGGCACUAUCGAAUGAAUAUAUAUAUGUAAGAAACUUUUAAGGCACUAUCGAAUGAAUAAAUGUGAUUAUUAGGCACUAUCGAAUGAAUAUAUAUAUGUAAGAAACUUUUAAGGCACUAUCGAAUGAAUAAAUGUGAUUAUUAGGCACUAUCGAAUGAAUAUAUAUAUGUAAGAAACUUUUAAGGCACUAUCGAAUGAAUAAAUGUGAUUAUUAGAGCAUGAAUAUAUAUAUAUAUAUAUAUAUAUAUAUAUAUAUAUAUAUAGAUAGAUAUAUAUAUAUAUAUAUAUAAAUAUUCAUGCUCUAAUAAUCACAUUUAUUCAUUCGAUAGUGCCUUAAAAGUUUAUCGAGCUCAAAGAGGUGCUAAAGUGUCGAAGCAGAAGUCUAAUAACAUUACAUGGAUCUCAAUAAAGUGCCCUCGUCAAACAAAUAACAUCGACUGUGGGUACUACAUAUUGAGAUUCAUGAAGGAGAUUGUUGAGAAGAAUAAAACUAUUAUCCCAGAAACGGUACGGUAUUUGCAUUAUAUGAUUUUCAUAUAUAAAUUAUCUAUAUAUUUGAUACUAACUUAAUAUAAUAUGUUCAAUUUUUAUAUUGCAGUACUUUGACAAUUCCAGUCCAUCAUAUUCUGAGGAAGAUCUGAUGGAAUUAAAGGAAGAAUGGUGUCAGUACGUGCUUGACAUGAAAAUUAUUUGAUUUUCUGGGAAAUAGCUUGCUGCUGGGCAAGGGAUCUGAAUAUUAUAUGGUAGCUAGUGCAUAUAAUGUAUAUUCUGUUAGUUAUUAUAUGUAAAUGAUCAUAGGACACAAUAUAUGAACAUGCAUAUGGAUCUGAAUGUAGUUUAGGUUGUAAAUUAGGUUAUAUAUAUAUACGUAUCUGAAUGUAGGUAAUUAGGUUGUAAAUUAGGUUGUAUAUAUGUAUCUGAAUGUAGUUACUUAGGUUGUAAAUUACAGAGUUACAUAUAUGUUAAUAAAGUUACAGAGUUCUGAUUUCUGUUCUACUGAUUGUGUGAACUGAUUGUCUAUAAUAUGUUCUGUUCUACUGAUUGUGAAGUGAUUUUGGAUCAAAAAUAAUUUUGGGUACAAAGAUAAAAGACAGCGCUUUUUAAAAAAAGUGCCAUAAAAAGCUAAAAAGCACUUUUCAUUUCAAAUAAUUAAUUUACAGCGUUUAAAAAAAAAAAAAAAAAUAACGAUACUUUGACAUGGCCCGCGGGGAUCGGAAUAUUGUGCAAUACUUCUCCCGAAGUAUUGUGCAAUAUUCCUUUUCCCACCUUCCGUUGAGUCGGCGAGGACAAGUAUAGGACACAUGUAGUGACACCCUACAUCAAUAGUUAAAACAUAAGUACAGUUAAUAUAUAAGUUUGUUUAAUACAUAAGUAAUUACAUAAGCAAGUAAGUAGUAAGUAAUUAAUUACCUCGGGAAUACUCUUCAAACCGACGUUGCAACUCCCGGUUUCACUCUCCAUUUGUAUUUCAGGUUGGAGCUGAACCGGAAGUUGCUUGUCUUUAUUCGUAUUCACCAAGAGUGCCACUUGCUCCGAUAAGAUUCUGAGCUUCUCUAAUACUUCCUCGUUGGAAGGUUUUUGGCGCUUCUCUUGAGGAAAAAAGCUUUUGGGAGUUACGCCAAAUCCUUUCCCCCUCACUCGACCGGAAUACUCAGGGACAUUAAACACUUUCCCAAGAAUGUCCCUGCACGUAUCCUUGUUGCCCUCUUGAGUUUCAGAACUUUGUUCAAUAGUUUCCUAAAAUACAUGUAACAUUAAAAAGAUAAGUUCAAUAGCAUUUUUAAAAUACAAUAUUAAAAAAUAUUAAAGUGAUAAUAUACUUACACAAAGUUCUACAACUUUCUUGACAUUUUCAUUAUCAACCACUCCUUCUUUAUUAACACGCGCUUCCUUCCACAAUAUAUGACGACCCAAGGGUUGAUCGGCUUGGGUGUCUUUUCUCUAUUCGUUAAAAUCAUAAACAAAAUAAUACAAAUUAGUUACACACUAUAGUUUAUAAUACAAAUUACUUCAUUAUAUAAAAGUGAUGUUUAAUUACUUACAAUUUGUUGUUCAAGGCGUGCAUAUCCCAUACGUGAUUUCUUGUAUGGGUGUUUUGGGUUGCUUGCCCGUUCGCGAUUUGCCGUACUAAUAUUCUAUAUAAAAAAAAAAUUGCAAUUGUGUAAAAAUUUAAAAUACGCUACGAAUAUGAAUAAUAAAACACAAAUGCUAAUAAAUUAAUCACUUACGACAAACGCCGGGUCAGAACGUUUGGAAACAAAUGCACUCCAUUCAUCCUUUGAUAUAUAAUGUUGAUAUAUCUUUGGAGGUUCAGCAUUUGUGUUUCCUUCUCUAUCUUUUAGAUAGAAAUUUGAGAGAUGGGAUCUAAAUCCACGAUGGAUUUUCCCAGCAACUCUCAAAACAUAUGACUUUCGUUCCUCAUCAAGAACAAAAGUGGUCUGCAAUGAAAACAAUCAUAAGUAAUGUAUUUUACAGAAAAAACAUUAUAAAUGACAAAAGAGUAGAUCAAAAUAUUUACUUGAAUGUCAUUCCAGAUGAUAUCUUUGGCAUCCUUCAACGCCUUAUCUCUCCAGUUGUCUAUUGUUAUUGGGACAUUUUGACGAACAACAGCCCCAAUGUAGCUUACAAACAUGGAGCUGUUGGGGUCAACUGGCUGACCACUCUCGUUCCAGCCAACCUAAUAAACUCAUAUAGUAAGUACAUGCCCUAAACCCUAAAAAAAGAUAAAAAUCACACAGCAAACAAAGUAUAGUAUACCUCAAAUUUAAUCCCACUACUCCUUGCUUUAAUCACCUUUUGCAUUAUAGUUGCACCACGUUUGACUUCUUUUUCAUAAGUCUUGGAGGUGCCAACUUCUUCAUUUUGAACUUCUAUAUCUUUGUUUGUAUCCAUUUAACUACAAUAAGUUCAACAUGCAGUUUAGUAUAACAUCAACAAGCUCAACAUGGAUCAUGCAGUAUAUCUUAAAAAAGCUCAACAUGCAUUUUAAUGAUUACAAAAAAUUUAUAACAUCAAUACCUGAAUAAUGGUUCGAAGAAAGAUGAAAUGUAAAGAAAAGAGGGAACGCAGAAAGUUCACAUAAAUAUGGUUCAAAGAAAUACGAUAUUGAAGAAAUACGUAAUGAGGGUUACAUAUUUCAAUGAAAAUAUAUUGUGUAAAAUGGGAGAGAUGAUCUUGGAUGGAAAUAAGGUUCGAAAUGAAGGAGAUGAUCGUGGAAAUAAGGUUUGUAAUGGACGGGAUGAUAGGGUUUGCAAAAGAAGAGAAGAACGAUGAAGGUUGAGAUGAUAGUGAAGUUUACGUAAUGAAGAGGAAACUGAAGAGGUAACUGUUAUAUAUACGUAACCCUUUUACAGCGCUUUUUAUAAGCCUUUUACAGCGCUUCUUUUGCAAAGCGCUCUAAAAGGCGUCUUUACUUUUUCCAAAUAAGCGUUGUAAAAGACCUCCGUGUGUUAUUAUGUUAUAUUAAUGUUUUUUUAAAGCCUUUUACAACGCUUUUACACAUAAGCGCUCUAAAAUGUCUCUUUAUGUUAAUUUUAAAGGGCUCUUUUACAGCGCUUCUCCCAAUAAGCGCUGUAAAAGACUUCCUUGUUUUAUUAUGGUAUAUGAAUGUUUUUUUUAAGCCUUUUACAUCGCUUUUCUAAAUGAGCGCAGUAAAAGGCCUUAUUGUUUUUGUGUUUUGUUAUGUUAUGUUAUUUUUUAAACAAGCUCAACAUGCAUGCAAAACCCACAUAACUGGUCACCACCAAAAUCUCUUCCCCUUUUAUGCAUCUUCUUCACAAACAUCAAAGCUUACUCUUUCACAAUUCAAUCUCCACCUCAACACCCUUUUUAUCUCUUUACAUUCUCUUUCCUUCUUAAAUCGAAACUUGGUAUUCAGGAUCAUUGCCAUGUUGCGAAAAAUGGGUUUGUGUCUGAUGUUUUUGUUAACAAUGUGUUUUUGGGGAUUCCCAUGAUGCGUACAAGGU